UUGAGCGGAGAUAUAUGGAGCUUGCUUUAUUAACUUAGCAGCGAACGGGUGAGUAACACGUAGAUAAUCUAUCCUAUACUGGGGGAUAGCCCGAUGAAAGUUGGAUUAAUACCGCAUAUAGCUAUAUAGUUGCAUGAUUAUGUAGUGAAAGAUUUAUUGGUAUAGGAGGAGUCUGCGGCACAUUAGCUAGUAGGUGAGGUAAAGGCUUACCUAGGCGACGAUGUGUAGCCGGUCUGAGAGGAUGAACGGCCACAAUGGAACUGAGACACGGUCCAUACUCCUACGGGAGGCAGCAGUGGGGAAUAUUGCACAAUGGGGGAAACCCUGAUGCAGCAACGCCGCGUGAGUGAAGAAGGUUUUCGGAUUGUAAAGCUCUGUUAGCAGGGAAGAGGAAGGACGGUACCUGCAGAGGAAGCCACGGCUAACUACGUGCCAGCAGCCGCGGUAAUACGUGGGUGGCAAGCGUUGUUCGGAAUAACUGGGCGUAAAGGAUGCGUAGGCGGUUAAACAAGUUAUAUGUUAAAUAUAUAGGCUUAUCCUGUAGAAAGCAUAUAAAACUGUUUAACUAGAGUGCAGGAGAGGUAAGUGGAAUUCCUAGUGUAGCGGUGAAAUGCGUAGAGAUUAGGAAGAACACCAGUGGCGAAGGCGACUUACUGGACUGUAACUGACGCUGAGGCAUGAGAGCAUGGGGAGCAAACAGGAUUAGAUACCCUGGUAGUCCAUGCUGUAAACGAUGGGUACUAGGUGUGGGUUGUGAAUAACAAUUCGUGCCGUCGCAAACGCAAUAAGUACCCCGCC
rnacentral:rRNA from 1 species